rnacentral:rRNA from 1 species
GAUGAACGCUGGCGGCGUGCCUAAUACAUGCAAGUCGAGCGAACAGACGAGGAGCUUGCUCCUCUGACGUUAGCGGCGGACGGGUGAGUAACACGUGGAUAACCUACCUAUAAGACUGGGAUAACUUCGGGAAACCGGAGCUAAUACCGGAUAAUAUAUUGAACCGCAUGGUUCAAUAGUGAAAGACGGUUUUGCUGUCACUUAUAGGUGGAUCCGCGCCGCAUUAGCUAGUUGGUAAGGUAACGGCUUACCAAGGCAACGAUGCGUAGCCGACCUGAGAGGGUGAUCGGCCACAAUGGAACUAAGACACGGUCCAGACUCCUACGGGAGGCAGCAGUAGGGAAUCUUCCGCAAUGAGCGAAAGCUUGACGGAGCAACGCCGCGUGAGUGAUGAAGGUCUUCGGAUCGUAAAACUCUGUUAUUAGGGAAGAACAAAUGUGUAAGUAACUAUGCACGUCUUGACGGUACCUAAUCAGAAAGCCACGGCUAACUACGUG